UCGUUUUCCACUUGCGUAACUCUCACCACUCUGGAGCUAUUUACCCGAAUCUGUAAGUCAGGCGGAAAGAGAAAGAGAAGGGAAGGAAAGAUGAAUUUCAACUGUCACCAAAUUCAUAGCUCAUGUUCCUUCGGAAUUGUCUUGAAUCUACGUCAAUCUGGUGCUCAAAGACGGCUAUUCUGCUGCCCCCAGGCCUCCCUUCCCUCCUGCUCAAGCAACAGCACCUUGUCCACAAACCUGUGUAGAGAUUAUCAGCCUGUGAAAUGGUCCUGUGAAAGGAGGCAUUCAGCAAGCAUCCCGCAAAAAUGAUUUUCUGAGGAUGCAGGUGCAUGGAUUUUAAACACAACGAAAAAGGAAUCUCAGCCAAAUGCCUGAAAACCCAGAAAUCACAUAGGAAAAAAGCUGACCUGGGACAUCAGUCCAUCAGGCCAGGAAUAGUUUGGGGAUGAAGCUAGGAUUACUCAUGUGUCUAAAACCAGUCUGUGUUUCCCAGUGUCUUCCUAAGUGGAAGUACAAUAAGAAAUUUGUGAAGGAAAAGAGGGAAGGGAGAGUAGAGGAGAACCAGAUGGUUUAGACACUUAACUUACAAGACGUUAUAGGUACUGGGCAAUGGGACAGAGGGUUUUGGAAAGAUCACUUUUUGGCUCCUACUUUAGCUAUCUCAGGUCUUGCUAUGCUAAAAAUUCACUAUAAGUGCCAGGCUGUCAGGAGUUUUGAUAACCUCCUUAAACCCAGCAACUGGACUAAAUCUAGACUCAAAGGAAAAUGGUUGGUAAGCUACUAUUUUCCUCCAAACUCAUUUCAGAAGACACAAUUCUCACAAAACCUUAUGUCUAUUCUGUUUGCUAAUGCUAAGUCCACGAAAAGUACUGAGAGCACACAAACCCACAAACAUGAAUCAGUUGUGAAGUGAUUCUGAAAAGUGAAUUCUGAAGCUACAAAGGACACCCUGAUGCCAUUUACAAACGUACUGAGGUCUGCAAUGGUAACUUAAUUGCGUAAGAGAGCUGUUAGGUAACAUUAAAAAAUAAAGUGUAAUGUCAUACACAAGACCAGGAGCUAUAAUAUUUCACUUCAAAUCAUUUUCAGUUGAUUCAUUAAAGCCCUGAGCAGCAUGCACACCUAUUAACUAAAGUUCGUCCAAAAUUCCUAUUUAUUCACCCUCUUUCUCUCCUAUAGCACCAAGAAAUGUCAGAAGGACACACUUUAAAAAAUGAUAUUCUCAAGAGUGCAGUCAGAUACAAAUAACAUAUGGCAAUAACAUCAGGCCUUUUGAAAAGCGUCAGGUCAAGAGAAGUUCUAUUUGUCUCUAAACCUAGCUCAAAAAACCUCAGACUUCAUUUCCCUAAGGAAGAUUUAUGCCUACGACACUAAUAAAAGAAAUCACAGAAUUAAAUCA